AGGUACAAAUACCUUGGAAUUCCACAAGCAAAUGGCAACCACGAGGAGGCAGCUCGGAGUGCAGCUAGAUCCAAAUACCUAAAGAGGGUGAGGCAGAUCCUGAAUAGUCAGCUAAACGGCAAGAAAAAGAUCCAGACCAUUACCACUUAUGCCCUGCCAGUAAUCAGAUACCCCGCUGGCAUAAUACCCUGUCCACUGGAAGAGAUGCAAGCUCCUGAUAUCAAGACAAGAAAGCUCCUUACAAUACAUGGAGGCUUCCACCCUAUCUCCAACAUCCUGAGACUGUGCACAAAGUGGAAAGAUUGCGGGUGAAGACUAACGAGCGUCACAGGCACUAUCCAGGAGGAAACAACUUGGGCUUGUGUAGUAGGUAUAUUCUGUAGUUCGGUGCUGGUACUUUUCGAGGUGCAAGGUGGAGGUGGCGAAAAUUGUUUACUUUUCAAGACAAAAAGAUUGCUCUUCCAGCCAACACUGCAGUGUGUCACUUGUUAUGUUGAGCGAUUCAACUCGGCUUUUUAUUUGACAUUUCUCAGUGACCCGGUUCUCCAAAGGACAUGGUAAGUUAACAUUCACCGAGACAAUAUUACCAUUGCAACAACAAGAGUCGGCGGUGGGCGAAGCUCUCUCACCUUCCUCUUUCUCCCCGCUCAGUGCUGCUUUUCUGCGGCUGAACGAGCAAUUGCUGUUCACAGGUGUUGGAGAAAUUCUCAAGCUAUGAGAAACAUUGAUCAGCCGAUAUUAUAUGCUUGUUGUGGUUAUUGUUUUAUUCUUGGUUGUUUUUAUGUUUUCGUGACUCCAAUUUCAUUGUAUUUGCACCAUACAAUGACAAAAAAGGGUUUCUAUUCAAACAUACUCAAAGUAUGUUCACUAAUUAUGUAUAGCACUAACUAACAAAGUUGAGAGUUGAUUGUCUCAAAGAUUAAGUAAGAGAGUAAGUACACAUGAACAUGUACAUGUAUAUAUGUACUAUGAAACUGCAAAUGACUCAUAAAAUCAGAUGGAUAUGGAUCUUGCAGGAUCUACUUGGCGUUGCUUUCUGCAUCCACUUCAUAAGGACCAUCUCGCCGUCCAGUUUCAAGGUACAGUGUUCCCCCGCUGUUUGCGAGGGAGAGGAACUGAGCCCUGCCGCAAAUUGCGCAAGUAAUCGAAGCCCAACUGAUAGGGGUGCACACUAUAUCGUUUGAGCAUCUUCAGCGCAAUGUAUGUGUGCGCAAUAAUCACAUCGCUGCGCAAUGGUGGUGUAUUAAUAUGCAGUCAAUCAACUGGUAUAAUAAUAAGUGACCAGCCGAGGGAGCUUGUUGGACAAUGUUAUGGUAAAUUAUAACUCAUGAAACAAAACACACAAAGCAGCCCAGUGCAAUGACAGUAAAGGAUAGUGUUUUCUGUUCUAUUCCUCUUCAGAAUGUGAUGAACGAAUACAUGUCGAAACAGAUUACACUUGGAGGGAAGGGGGAGAGUCACGGCAUUAUUGGAGAGACAAACUUCAGUUGUACAUAACGUGUUUUGCUUUACUAAUGCACUCAAAUAUAGAAAUACUCAUAGAUAAUAGAUCAAUACUAAUGCAUAUAUUAAAACAGGUGUAAAAUAAUAGAAUGUGAAUGUGAUAAUGACUGGUAGGGUGGUCCCUAUUUUUUAUUUAUUUUUUUACUUUUACAAGUUCAUGCUCUCACCCCACCAAUAUGUAUGAAUAUAUAAAAAAUAAUUGGGAAGAAUGUUAUCUAUAUUAAUCAAUAUUUGGAGGUUGAGCAAGACCUUUGAAAUUAUGCAAUAUAGUCAGGAUUCUUUACCAUAUCAUGUGAUGCAUUGUGCUAAUGCAGCCCUAUGGGGGGCAGAAGCCAGUGCAAACUGUAGGCCGGUCCCAAGCCCAGAUAAAUGCAGAGGGUUGCGUCAGGAAGGGCAUCCGUCUUAAAACUUUGCCAAACAAAUAUGAGCGUUCAUGUAAAGAAUUCCAUAGCUGAUCGGUCGUGGCCCGGGUUAACAACGUCUGCCUCCGACGCCGUUAACCUGCAGGGUGCCGGUGGAAAUUCAGCUACUGUGGGUUGGAAGACGAAGGAGAGGUGGAAAGCGGGUUCUUAGGCAGAAAGAGAAGAGGAAAGCACAGAGCCUACAACUCCAUGUGGGGACUUUGAAUGUUGGGCCUAUGACAGGAAAAUGUCGGGAGUUAGUUGACAUGAUGAUUAGGAGAAAGAUUGUUAUAUUGUGUGUACAGCAGGGCAGAUGGAAAGGCAGUAAGGCUAGAAGUUUAGGGGCAGGGUUUAAAUUAUUUUACCAUGGUGUAGAUGGGAAGAGAAAUGGAGUAGGGGUUAUUCUAAAUGAAGAGUUAGCUAAGAAUGUCUUCGAGGUGAAAAGAGUAUCAGAUCGAGUGAUUAGGCUGAAACUUUAAAUUGAGGGUGUUAUAUAUAAUGUCAUUAGCGGAUAUGCUCCACAGGUAGGAUGUGACCUAGAGGUGAAAGAGAAAUUCUGGCAGGAGCUAGAUGAAGUAAUUCUGAGCAUCUGAGAGUCGUAAUUGGUGCCGUUGUAAUGAACAAGUUGGUGAAGGAAACAGGGGUGAUGAAGAAGUAAUGGGUAAGUCUGGCAUCCAGGAAAGAAACUUGAAGGGACAGAUGGUGGUAGAGUUUGCAAAAAGGAUGGAAAUGGCUGUAGUGCACACUUUUUUCCAGAAGAGGCAGGAACAUAGGGUGACCUACAAGAGUGGAGGUAAAGCACACAGGUGGAUUACAUCUUGUGCAGACGAUGUAAUCUGAAGGAGGUUACUGACUGUAAGGUAGUGGUUGGGCAGAGUGUGGCUAGACAGCAUAGGAUGGUGGUAUGUAAAAUGACUCUGGGGGUGGGGAGGAAGAUUAAGAAGAUAAAGGCAGAGCAGAGAACCAUGUGGUGGGAGCUGAGAAAGGAAGAGCGUUGUGCGGCUUUUCGGGAAGAGGUGAGACAUGCUCUCGGUGGAUAGGAAGCGCUUCCAGGAGACAGGACCACUAAGCCAAAGUGAUCAGAGAGACAGGCAGGAGAGUAAUUGGUGUAUCUUCUGGCAGGAAAGGGGAGAAGGAGACUUGGUGGUGGAACCUCAAAGUACAGGAAAUCAUACAAGGAAAGAGGUUAGCUAAGAAGAAGUGGGACACUGAGAGGACCGAGAAGAGGAGAAAGGAAUACAUUGAGAUGCAACGUAGGGCAAAGGUAGAGGUGGCAAAGGCCAGCGAGACAAGAGGCAUAUGAUGAUAUGAUGGCAUGGCAUGUGGUGUAGGUGUGACAGAGGAAUUUAAGGUGGAAGUGGGACUGCAUCAGGGAUCAACCCUGAGCCCCUUCCUGUUUGAAGUGGUGAUGGACCAACCAGCCCAGGAACUUUGAGUUCCAGGUAACAGGAAUUCCUGGUAGCAAAAGGUUCCCAUGGCCCAUCUGGUUUGUUUUUCCAUUGCACUAAUUAGUUCAGGGAAGCUUAAGCAAAUGAGUCUGAUGCUGCUUAUUACUGACACCUACUGGAACUAAAAAAUACUGUUAUUUCAAGUUUUGAAUGUCUUAUUUUGUAUAUUAAUCUAAAUUUCAAAUCUUUUUGAUACAUUUAAAACCUAACACUUUAUCCAGGUGAGGCAAUUGAGAACUGAUUCACAUUUGCAAUGCCAACCUGGCUGCAGACAGUCUUUGAGGUAGCGAGUUUUAUUAUAUACAGGUACAUUUCAAUAAAUUAGAAUAUAUUUAUUCUAUUUUACUGAGAUGAUAUACCUAAAUAGAAUCAGAAUCAGAAUCAGAAUCAUCUUUAUUUGGCAAGUAUGUCCAGAUAUGCAACAGACGCUUACAGAUGACUAUAGAUGUGAUUUCUCAGCUGUCUGUAUAAAUAUAUAUAUAUAUAUAUACUGUGUGUGUGUGUGUCCAUAUCGUGUCAUAUCAUGUGACCAUAGCAACUGCGCUAAAAAGUUUGGUAAAGUUAGGUUUUGAUUAAACUUUUCACCUCAAAGGUCUGCCACUGAGGUACACGAUAUAAACCAAGCCUGAGACACAGAACACUGGACCUUUCUAUAGCGCCGAGGACAAUCUGUGGCUCAAAGGAGGAACAGAAGACCCAUUCUACAAUUGAUCUAAUAGUGCAAACAUCCACGCCGUGAUAGUGAGCAUAAGAAAGGUCUGGAAAGCACAGCGGCAAGAUGUGCUCAUCAUCCCAGUCCCCAAGAAACCUGGAAUCUCAGGUCUGAAUGACUACAGGCCUGUCGCCCUGACAUCUGUGGUAAUGAAGUCCUUUGAACGCCUCGUGCUGGACCACCUCAAGAGCGUCACAGGUCCCCUGCUAGAUCCCCUGCAUCUGCCUACCAAGCAAACAGGUCUGUGGAUGAUGCAGUCAACAUGGGACUGCACUUCAUCCUAGAAGACCGUGACGUUGCGGGGACCUACAUGAGGAUCCUGUUCGUGGACUUCAGCUCUGCAUUCAACACCAUCAUCCCCAAACUCCUCUCCCCCAAGCUUCUCCAGCUCAGCGUCUCGGCUGCCAUCUGCCAGUGGAAUUACAGCUUCCUGACGGGCAGGACACAGCAGGUGAAUCUCUACACGAACGACUGCACCUCAACGCACCCCGGCUGUCAAACUCCUGAAGUUCGUUGUACCUUGUUGUCACGUUCCAACAUUCCUUGUUUUUACGUCACCGACUCAUAGUAAGACCCUGUUCUGAUUUGUACUGUAUUUGUAAAAUUUUUAUGUCUCAAAAGUAUUCUCUGUCAAUUGACUGUUGUCGUACUAGAGCGACUCCAACUACCGGAGACAAAUUCCUUGUGUGUUUUUCACAUACUUGGCAAAUAAAGAUGAGUCUGAUUCUGAACUGCAGGUUUCAGAACUACCUACA